UACAGAGGCCCCAAGCAUUACCCGGAAUCACUGGGCGUAAAGGGUUUGUAGGCGGUCGUGUUAGUCUUUCGUGAAAGCCCGCGGGCUCAACCCGUGGAACGCGCAAGAAACGGCACGACUUCGAGGACACGAGAGGUAUAUGGAACUCAUGGUGUAGGGGUGAAAUCCGUUGAUAUCAUGGGGAACACCAAAUGCGAAGGCAAUAUACUGGCGUGCUCCUGACGCUGAGAAACGAAAGCGUGGGUAGCGAACGGG
rnacentral:rRNA from 1 species